GUUUUUUUGUUUUGUUUUGUUUUGUUUUUGUUUGUUUUUUUUUUUAAUUCUCCAAGAACAGUGGCUGUGUGGUGGCUAGCAAGAGGGCAGAGGAAAACAGAACUUCUUCCUGGCUUUUCGGUCUUAUGAUUCCAAACAAAGUCACAACGUGAACACCAUUCUCGCUUACUUUCCCGAGCCUCUUCUGACGGACACUGCGGGCCCCUGCACCUGCAGCCCGUCAUCAUAGCUUCCUGUCUUUCUGAGAGCAUACCCAUCAUAACGCCCCUCUCUCCCGCAUCAUCUUCUCUCGAGGUCCCCAAAAGGUUUCCCAGCAGGAUGGUGCAGUGGUGGCUAAAAACAAGGGUGUGUGGAAGAUCCCGGAGUCCGGAACAGAAUGGCAAUGGAGUUGAUCGAAAAGAAGAUAGGCUCCUGGAGUCACACCAUGUCUCCAGAUCUGAGUUUCUUCUUUGAUGGUGAAUAACAACACAUUCCUUUUAGAGUUUUGUUUGGAUGACAUUAGAAAGCAGUGCUAAAGUGACUGGCGCACUCACUAGCCUUUAAUAGGGGCUCAAUCCCUUUCUAUCCUAAAUUUAUCCCAAAUCCAGACUACAUUCUCCCCACUCAGUCACUUCUUAACCCACUGCGGUUUGGAUUUUGCCCUUAGCCACCCCGGGAACUGUUCUGCAGAUAAUAACACAUAUUUCAAGAGUAGUUGUGAGGAUUAAAUGAGAUCAUGUGUUUGAUCUUUGCUUGGCAUAAAGAACAUAAUAGCUUUUGUGAUUAAUAAUGAAGAUCUAAUUGCAAAAUUCAAUAGGCCCUGGAAACUCUCUCUUUGAUUUUUUCCCUGUGAACUAUUGGUUGUUUUUCCAUUCCUUUCUGCCCUUUCUCAGUUCUGUCAGCUGCCUCCUCUUUCUAGGCCUGCCUCAAGCGUUCCUGACAUCUUUACUCUGCCCUUGGAAAAUGCCAAAUCCAGAAGAAAAUUCUUUUUCAGUUCUUCUGCUUUGGUGGUCACCUCUGGCCUUUAAAUAUAUAGUUCUGGGUCCCCCUCAGCUCCAGUCCUCCUUGCCAAAGAAGUUCAUCCUCUUCCCCUUUGAAACCAUCUUUGAGACUUCCCUCCCUUUAGCUACAGUGCAUAUUUCUGUCACAACAUUUGCCACUCUGUACUCCACAUGAUUCUUCAUUCAUAGAUACUGAAGACUGACAGCAUGUCUACAAUGGCUCCCUUCCCUUUGCUGCACCUCCAAUCUGUUAUUUAAGCCAUAAGCAUAAAAUAAGAGUGCCAUCUCACAGGGUUGUAGUAAAGAAUAAUUGGAUAGUCCAUUUCAAGAGAUUAGCAGAGUGCCUAGCACAUAGCAAAUGCUUAAAAAGAGUCGGCUGAGACCUAAGAGAAUCGCUUGUCUGUUUUUGUCUAAGGCAGAGAUCAAGGCAUACCCAUCUUUAUAUUUUAAUGACCAGCCAUGUCAUUCAGAAUAAUCAUAGUAACAGGGGAUGAUGAGCAAGUAGAAUAAUCCCUAACAGAGAUUCCCAGCUGUAAUUCCAGACUAGAACAGAAUAUGGAUAUGGGAGCCAGCAAACCAGAGAACACUAGUAGCAACCAAAUUUUGGACUUAUAAUAACUCAUUUGCAACUAACAUACAUCCAGGAAGAGGGAGCAAUGGAUGAAAUGGAUGAAGCCAGCAGCAGCAUGUCCAGCAAUGACAAAUAAAUGGCACCCCUCCCAGACUCUUGGAAUGACUUCUUGGGAAAUUGAAUUGAAAGCAAAUUAAAUGGGAAAAAAACAAUUCCCUCAUCAGCACACCUGGAGAUGCCAUCUUGUGAUAUUCAAGACAGUAGCACAGUGUUUCUUUUAUCAAAGGCUGCAGAAUCCCAGCUCUGGAUGGAUUAAAUUGUUUCAGAAUGCUGGCAUCUUGAGAUGCCUUCACUCAAAUGGUUUAAAUCAUAGGAUUCAUAUUUCUGGCUGAGCAUCUGGUUUCCUUGAUGUAUGGAGGAUUUGCAGCUUUUCAGGAGGAACUGAAUUGAACAUAUUGGUAGUAUACGUGCCUUGUAUUUGAUCUCUCUGUUGUGUUGCAUUAAUUAAGAGUUGUUUUAAUUUUUAAAUAAUAGGUCUUUCCUAUUUUAUGUUAGAGGUUGUGACUGUUAUAGCCAACUACUGAAUCAGAGGAUACUUAUCAAUCUUUUUUCCCAAACACAAGGAGAGUUAAAGGAAAGCAUUUCUAAAACAGAAAACAACAGCAGAUUAGUGGAUUAGUGGAUUCUGUUGCAUUAAACUCUACUUUUGACUAUAAAAACCCUAUGUGUGUAUGUAUGA
rnacentral:lncRNA from 10 species